rnacentral:misc_RNA from 1 species
GGUCGGACCCCGAAACCCGGGGAACCCCGGCCCCCUUACCUGGCCACCCUUGUCUAUCUUACCUGUUGCUUCGGCGGGCCUGCAGCGAUGCUGCCGGGGGAGCCUUGCUCCCCGGGCCCGUGCCCGCCGAGGACACCGCUAGAACCUCCGGUGAACGAUUGACGUCUGAGAUGAUAACUAUAAUCAGUCAAAACUUUCAACAACGGAUCUCUUGGUUCCGACAUCGAUGAAGAACGCAGCGAAAUGCGAUAAGUAAUGUGAAUUGAGAAUUCCGUGAAUCAUCGAAUCUUUGAACGCACAUUGCGCCCUCUGGCAUUCCGGGGGGCAUGCCUGUCCGAGCGUCAUUGCAACCCUCAAGCGCGGCUUGUGUGUUGGGCCCUCGUCCCGCCCGUGGACGUGCCCGAAAUGCAGCGGCGGCGUCGUGUUCCGGUGCCCGAGCGUAUGGGGCUUUGUCACCCGCUCCAGAGGCCCGGCCGGCUCCGGCCCCAUCUCAACCCUUUCGGGGAAGGGCGGUCUGCGGACCGGUCUCCCCAACCCAGGUUGA